GCCGGGAAUAGGAAAAUUUAGUCUGCGCUUAUGGAGGGGAAAGUUAUUCUUGUUUGCCUUAUGGUGCUUGUGCAGCUAGGAAACUCCAUUGAUGAUCAUUGCGAGAUGCGAACUAUUCUUUCAAGUCCUAAGUGCACAGGCUCAACUUGCCAGACGGCCUGCCAAAAAAUUUGGGGACCUGACGUCAAGAGAGCUGAGUGUAGGGUUGUCGACCAUCACAAGUAUUGUGACUGCAUCAUCUGCUACUAGAGUUGCACUGAAUGGAAAAUGUUAGGAUCCAAUAAUAAAAUCUUCGUGUGCAAUAUAUUGAUCACCAAUUUUGGAUGUUCUAUUUUA